rnacentral:rRNA from 1 species
UAAUACGGAGGGUGCAAGCGUUAUCCGGAUUUAUUGGGUUUAAAGGGUCCGUAGGCGGAUCUGUAAGUCAGUGGUGAAAUCUCAUAGCUUAACUAUGAAACUGCCAUUGAUACUGCAGGUCUUGAGUAAGGUAGAAGUAGCUGGAAUAAGUAGUGUAGCGGUGAAAUGCAUAGAUAUUACUUAGAACACCAAUUGCGAAGGCAGGUUACUAUGUCUUAACUGACGCUGAUGGACGAAAGCGUGGGGAGCGAACAGGAUUAGAUACCCUGGUAGUCCACGCUGUAAACGAUGCUAACUCGUUUUUGGGUUUUCGGAUUCAGAGACUAAGCGAAAGUGAUAAGUUAGCCACCUGGGGAGUACGAACGCAAGUUUGAAACUUAAAUGAAUUGACGG